ACGGAAGGCAGCAGUGAGGAAUAUUGGUCAAUGGGCGGAAGCCUGAACCAGCCAAGUCGCGUGAAGGAAGAAGGUAUUAUGUAUUGUAAACUUCUUUAGCAGCAGAGAAAUAAGGAUCUCGUGAGAUCUGAUGCUAGUAUGCUGAAAAUAAGGAUCGGCUAACUCCGUGCCAGCAGCCGCGGUAAUACGGAGGAUCCGAGCGUUAUCCGGAUUUAUUGGGUUUAAAGGGUGCGCAGGCGGUCUUUUAAGUCAGUGGUCAAAUCGUGGGGCUCAACCCCAUCCCGCCAUUGAUACUGGAGGACUUGAUUGCGGUCGAGGUUGGCGGAAUUCGUCGUGUAGCGGUGAAAUGCAUAGAUAUGACGAAGAACACCGAUUGCGUAGGCAGCUGACCAGGCCGUAAAUGACGCUCAUGCACGAAAGUGCGGGGAUCGAACAGGAUUAGAUACCCUGGUA
rnacentral:rRNA from 1 species